UACGUAGGGGGCGAGCGUUGUCCGGAAUUACUGGGCGUAAAGCGUGCGCAGGCGGUUUGUUAAGUCCGCUGUGAAAUCCCCGAGCUCAACUUGGGAAUUGCAGUGGAUACUGGCAAGCUGGAGUAUGGUAGAGGAAGGUGGAAUUCCCGGUGUAGCAGUGAAAUGCGUAGAGAUCCGGAGGAACACCGACGGCGUAGGCAGCGCCCUAGACGAGACCUGACGCUCAGGCACGAAAGCGCGGGGAGCGAACAGG
rnacentral:rRNA from 1 species